UAGGGAAUCUUCGGCAAUGGGGGGAACCCUGACCGAGCAACGCCGCGUGAGUGAAGAAGGUUUUCGGAUCGUAAAGCUCUGUUGUUAAGGAAGAACGAGUGUGAGAAUGGAAAGUUCAUACUGUGACGGUACUUAACCAGAAAGGGACGGCUAACUACGUGCCAGCAGCCGCGGUAAUACGUAGGUCCCGAGCGUUGUCCGGAUUUAUUGGGCGUAAAGCGAGCGCAGGCGGUUAGAUAAGUCUGAAGUGAAAGGCAGUGGCUCAACCAUUGUAGGCUUUGGAAACUGUUUAACUUGAGUGCAGAAGGGGAGAGUGGAAUUCCAUGUGUAGCGGUGAAAUGCGUAGAUAUAUGGAGGAACACCGGUGGUGAAAGCGGCUCUCUGGUCUGUAACUGACGCUGAGGCUCGAAAGCGUGGGGAGCGAACAGG
rnacentral:rRNA from 1 species